AACGAACGCUGGCGGCAUGCCUAACACAUGCAAGUCGAACGAGAGCUUCGGGUCUAGUGGCGCACGGGGGGUUAACGCGUGGGAACCUGCCCUUAGGUUCGGAAUAACUCCCCGAAAGGGGUGCUAAUACCGGCUAAUUUCUUCGGACCAAAGAUUUAAGGCCUUUGGAUGGGCCCGAGUGGGAUUAGCCAGUUGGUAGGGGAAAAGCCUACCAAGGCGACUAUCGGUAGCUGGUCUGAGAGGAUGGGCAGCCACACUGGGACGAAGCCACAGUCCGGACUUCUAGGGGAGGGAGCAGUGGGGGAUCCUGGAAUGUGGGGUGAGGGCUGAAGCCGCUCGGGCGCGUGAGUAAUGAUGGCCGUAGGGAUGUAAAGCUCUUUUACCCGGGAUGAUAAUGACAGUACCGGGAGAAUAAGCUCCGGCUAACUACGUG
rnacentral:rRNA from 1 species